rnacentral:rRNA from 1 species
GACGAACGCUGGCGGCGUGCUUGACACAUGCAAGUCGAACGGAAAGGCCUGCUUUCCCUUGUGGAUUGCGGGUACUCGAGUGGCGAACGGGUGAGUAACACGUGAGUGAUCUGCCCCCAACUUGGGUAUAAGCCUGGGAAACUGGGUCUAAUUCCCGAUAGGACUGCAGGGUGGUGCCUGUGGUGGAAAACGAUUUUCUAGUGGUUGGGGAUGAGCUCGCGGCCUAUCAGCUUGUUGGUGGGGUAAUGGCCUACCAAGGCGGCGACGGGUAGCCGGCCUGAGAGGGUGGACGGCCACAUUGGGACUGAGAUACGGCCCAGACUCCUACGGGAGGCAGCAGUGGGGAAUAUUGCACAAUGGGCGGAAGCCUGAUGCAGCGACGCAGCGUGGGGGAUGACGGCCUUCGGGUGGUAAACUCCUUUCGACCGCGAGGAAGCCACCUGGUUGGAAGGGUGGUGACGGUAGUGGUAGAAGAAGCACCGGCUAACUACGUG